CCAAACCCUAUUAAAGGCACUUCGACGAAUCACAGUCAUUUUAACCCUGUCACAUGUCUUUCAACAUUAGAAACAGGAGCAGUCAUUCUAAGAGACUCCUUGAUGCGAACGAAAUCCUCAUGAGCAGCACUUGAUUUGACUGAUCCAUAUAGGCAAUAAUGAUACCUGACAAGCAGCUACAGAAGGCUGUACUCUUCUCCGUAGGACUUCUCUGCAUCAUGGCAGCAUACAGUGUCGUGGCUGUGCGACCCAACGCAUCAACAGCUGAACACGCUCUUCGUCAAGAGCUAAAGAAAUAUAUGCCUUUGGUUCGUCCAGUGCUUUCUCCAAGAGAUAAAAUAAACAUAUCUUUUUCUGCAAAACUUAUAAGCCUCAUUGGACUGAACAUCAAGAAGCAGAUGGUCACGACCAAACUUUUAAUUGUACAG